AAAUAGCCCAGAUAGUAGUGAAAAGCUUUUUGAAAUCCGGUUUUUAGUUUUUUUAUUCUUGGAAAGCGACUGGAAGAAGCUCUUGCAAGAAUUUAAAAAACUUAAACGGAAGAAAAAAAACUUGUAACGGAUAGCUGGAUUAGCU
rnacentral:sRNA from 1 species